UGUUCCGACUUCCUUUGCUCUCCUUCUGCAUAUCAUCCUGAAACUAAAAUUUCCUGCUCAGUGCACUGAGAAGAUCCACCCCUGGAUAGUAGUAGCUUCAAUUACUGUAAAAUAAGACUGAGCAGUAAAGUAAUCUUUUAGGAAGGCACAUGGUUUGGAGACUGCUGGAUUGUACUGGAACAGAUUCCUGAUUUUAAAUCAUUGGAGAAAAUUGCAGCAGAUUUAGCUUGACUGUCAGGAGUGGAACCAGAGGUCGAAUGAAUGACUCCCAGCAAUGCUGCUUCAAGCUGGUGGAGCAGAGCUGCUCUGUGGGGACCCCAGGAGCUUUGAGAAAGCACCCUCCACCCAGACCCCAGGU